GGUGAGCGGCAGACGGGUGAGUAACGCGUGGGAACGUGCCUUUCACUGCGGAAUAGUUCCGGGAAACUGGGGGUAAUACCGCAUACGCCCUUCGGGGGAAAGAUUUAUCGGUGAGAGAUCGGCCCGCGUCUGAUUAGGUAGUUGGUGGGGUAAUGGCCUACCAAGUCUACGAUCUAUAGCUGGUUUUAGAGGAUGAUCAGCAACACUGGGACUGAGACACGGCCCAGACUCCUAC
rnacentral:rRNA from 1 species